AUUGAACGCUGGCGGCAGGCCUAACACAUGCAAGUCGAACGAUAACAGGAAGAAGCUUGCUUCUUUGCUGACGCGUGGCGGACGGGUGAGUAAUGUCUGUGAAACUGCCUGAUGGAGGGGGAUAACUACUGGAAACGGUAGCUAUUACCGCAUAACUUCGCAAGACCAAAGAGGAGGACUUACGGGCCUCUUUCCUUCGGAUGUUCCCAGGUCGGAUUAGCUUGUUGGUGGGGUAACGGCUCACCAAGGCCACGAUCCGUAGCUGGUCUGAGAGGGUGACCAGCCACACUGGAACUGAGACACGGUCCAGACUCCUACGGGAGGCAGCAGUAGGGAAUCUUGCGCAAUGGGCGAAAGCCUGAUGCAGCCACGCCGCGUGUGUGAUGAAGGUCUUCGGAUUGUAAAGUACUGUUAUCAGGGAAGAAGAAAUGUGUAAGUAAAUCUGCACGUAUUGACGGUACCCGAACAGAAAGCCACGGCUAACUACGUG
rnacentral:rRNA from 1 species